ACGCUAGCGGCAGGCCUAACACAUGCAAGUCGAGGGGCAGCGGGGAAAAGCUUGCUUUUCCGCCGGCGACCGGCGCACGGGUGCGCACCGCGUAUGGAACCUGCCUUGUACAGGGGAAUAGCCCAGGGAAACUUGGAUUAAUGCCCCGUAGUACCGUAUUUCGGCAUCGUUAUACGGUUAAAGCCUUCGGGCGGUACAAGAUGGCCAUGCGUCCCAUUAGCUGGAUGGUAAGGUAACGGCUUACCAUGGCUACGAUGGGUAGGGGCCCUGAGAGGGGGAUCCCCCACACUGGUACUGAGACACGGACCAGACUCCUACGGGAGGCAGCAGUGAGGAAUAUUGGACAAUGGAGGAGACUCUGAUCCAGCCAUGCCGCGUGCAGGAAGAAUGCCCUAUGGGUAGUAAACUGCUUUUAUACGGGAAGAAAAAGAGCUACGUGUAGCUUACUGACGGUACCGUAAGAAUAAGGACCGGCUAACUCCGUGCCAGCAGCCGCGGUAAUACGGAGGGUCCGAGCGUUAUCCGGAAUUAUUGGGUUUAAAGGGUCCGUAGGCGGGCCGAUAAGUCAGGGGUGAAAGUCUGCCGCUCAACGGUAGAACUGCCUUUGAUACUGUCGGUCUUGAGUUAUAGUGAAGUUGCCGGAAUAUGUAGUGUAGCGGUGAAAUGCAUAGAUAUUACAUAGAACACCGAUUGCGAAGGCAGGUGACUAACUAUAUACUGACGCUGAUGGACGAAAGCGUGGGGAGCGAACAGGAUUAGAUACCCUGGUAGUCCACGCCGUAAACGAUGGAUACUAGCUGUCCGGAACCUUGAGUUCUGGGCGGCCAAGCGAAAGUGAUAAGUAUCCCACCUGGGGAGUACGUUCGCAAGAAUGAAACUCAAAGGAAUUG
rnacentral:rRNA from 1 species